rnacentral:rRNA from 1 species
UACGUAGGGGGCAAGCGUUGUCCGGAUUUAUUGGGCGUAAAGAGCGUGUAGGCGGCCAGGUAGGUCUGCUGUGAAAACUCGAGGCUCAACCUCGAGAUGCCGGCGGAAACCGUCUGGCUAGAGUCCGGAAGAGGAGAGUGGAAUUCCUGGUGUAGCGGUGAAAUGCGCAGAUAUCAGGAAGAACACCUAUGGCGAAGGCAGCUCUCUGGGACGGUACUGACGCUGAGACGCGAAAGCGUGGGGAGCGAACAGG